GACGAACGCUGGCGGCGUGCUUAACACAUGCAAGUCGAACGGAAAGGCCCUGCUUUUGUGGGGUGCUCGAGUGGCGAACGGGUGAGUAACACGUGGGUAACCUGCCCUUCACUUUGGGAUAAGUUCAGGAAACUGGGGCUAAUACCGGAUAUGAGCUCCCGCCGCAUGGGGUGGGUUGGAAAGUUUCGGCGGGUGGGGAUGGACUCGCGGCUUAUCAGCUUGUUGGUGGGGUAGUGGCUUACCAAGGCUUGGACGGGUAGCCGGCCUGAGAGGGUGACCGGCCACAUUGGGACUGAGAUACGGCCCAGACUCCUACGGGAGGCAGCAGUGGGGAAUAUUGCACAAUGGGCGGAAGCCUGAUGCAGCAACGCCGCGUGCGGGAUGACGGCCUUCGGGUUGUAAACCGCUUUCGCCUGUGACGAAGCGUGAGUGACGGUAAUGGGUAAAGAAGCACCGGCUAACUACGUG
rnacentral:rRNA from 1 species